AUUUCUGCUCUAAUCUUUAUUAUUUCCUGUCUUCUGCUGGUUUUGGGUUUUAUUUGCUGUUCUUUUUCCAGCUCCUCAAGGUGUCAGGUUAGGUUGUAUAUCUGAGAUCUUUCUUCCUUCUUUAGGAAGGCCUGGAUUGCUAUAUACUUUCCUCUUAUGACUGCCUUUGCUGCGUCCCAGAGGUUUUGGGUGGUGGUGGUAUCAUUUUCAUUGACUUCCAUAUACUUUUUAAUUUCCUCUUUAACUGCUUGGUUAGCCCAUUCGUUCUUUAGUAGGAUGUUCUUCAGUCUCCAAGUAUUUGUUACCUUUCCACAAUUUUCUUGUGGCUGAUUUCGAGUUUCAUAGCGUUGUGGUCUGAAAAUAUGCAUGGUAUGAUCUCGAUCUUUUUGUACUUACAUAGGGCUUUGUGUCCUAGUAUAUGGUCUAUUCUGGAGAAUGGUCCAUGUGCCCUGGACACCCGUCCUCUGUAUUCAGCUCUUGUCCACUCCCUGCUUUUUCACUGUGACCAGGCCCCAGGCAGUACUUCUCUAACGAGUUUUGUCUCAGAUGCGGCUGUUUUUCCUGGCCCCUUAUUUCCGAAGGACUGCGGCUUUGACCCGUUCCGCCCCUCUGUGGGAGGGUCUCACCAAGCAAUGGCCGAAUGAGCAAUGGCAGAAUGUCGGCUGCACCCAAGAACGCUUGCUGGACGCUGCUGCUGCCGGUGCCCGGAGACUGAGGCCAGGUGCCAGCCCACCCCAGAAGAAGCUCGUGAGACAGUGUAGCAGCAGCAUUUCAGGGAUUAUGGAAAAUCACAACACACAUCUGGUACCUGGCUUCACCCUUACCAACCUUGCCCGAGCACCAGCAAAUGUGGCCGCCUUCCGGGGUCUGCUGGGACCAGGUGGCUUCAACAGUCUUUAUCAAAUGUCCUUCCAGCAGUGGAACCACUUUUCCCAGUGUGGCUCAAGAACCUCCCGGACCCCACUCUUCUCCUGAGGAUUCGCCCUUCCCACCAGAGCACCGCCAGCAGUUUGUUUCUGUUUCUGAGACCAAGAAUUCCAACUAACACAGAUAGCAAGGAUCAAACAUCACACUUCUGCCAACAGCACUGGAGUCUGGAAGAUAAUGGAACAUGCCAUCAGGCUCUGGAGCUACUUUUGCAACCUAGGAUCUUUUACACCCAGCCAAACUAUCAAUCAAACCUAAGGACAUUGUGGUCUCCAGGGCUCCCAUAACAAAUUAGCACAAAAUAGGAUGAACCAGGCCCCUGUCCAAGGCUUUGAGAUGGAUGUGAGGAACAAAACCACCAUGCGCAUUAUGUACCCUGAGAUGGCUAGCGCACAGGAUCCUGGCACCCAACUGCUGCUGCUUCCUCUGAAUUCAUCUGGUCUAAAGUGGUUUAUGGAAGUGCUGCGGGAACAGAGCUUCAGAAGCCCAGUAAACCCUGGAUUUCAGAUAGUCCAGGUCCCCGGUGGAAGUAACAAGAGCAAAGACAAGGUCUUGGUGAUCAGCCUCAACUUUCUCCAGUAUGUCCAGCAUUGUUGGCUGGGGAAACACAGUUGGUUUCCAUCCUUGGGGUUCGUGGGUUUGUUGUAUGCCCUGCACACAUGUGACCAGGCACUGAUGCUAGGAGACCUAACCCCAUUCCAGCUGGCCAAGGAGGAACUUUUCAGCUGAUCCCCACAGCGAAGCCCUGAGACCCGCCCAUGCCAGUCCUGUGCUAUGCAACGUGGAACUCGGGGAAUCUGAAGUCUUCACAAUAUGGAGUAUCCACUGAGGAGCACCACCUGUGCUCAGAGGGUGAGGGUGGUGAGCAGUGCCAGCCUGUGAGCCCCAAAGCCUUCCUGACUUCCUUUCCUAUCUCUGCAGAAUGAACCAGGCCCCAGUUUUAGGUCCAGAGAACAACAAAGGCAACAAACAGAAUCUACCUGCACAUAAUGCACCUGAGAAUGCCCAUGACCUGGAGAGAAUAUCCACACACUGCUGGUGUUGUCGCAGCCACCAGAUAUAGGGUGGACUGUAGUGGUCUUGAGCCAAGGUGGAAAAGGGCAUCUUUUACCAGGUGGUGUGAGGGUGGAGGCCCCAGGCCUGGAGCAGACAGCCCUGGCUUUUUGGUGUAAAUGUUGAUCUUGUCGUCACUCUGCAGUGUGUGACUGUAUACUCCCCACCUCCCUAACCUACAACCAGUUUUUCCUUCUCUACUUCAUGCUUUUCUGCCUUCACGCUUCUACUAGUCCCGUGUAGGGAAGCAUAUGAGUCAAGGUAAUUGAAUUGUGCUCUGGUGA